rnacentral:misc_RNA from 1 species
UAAAAAAAUGAUGGCUUAAGUGAACAAAGUGACAAUAGAAACAGAAAGGCUAUUUAGAAUAUCUGGAGAAAUUUUUUUUAGAAUAUCCGGACAAGUUUUUUUUUUUUUUUUUAAAAGGUACCGCAGUAACACACCCAACGUCUUCUAAGAAGCCUUCUAAAUUUUGAGACCUUCAGCUUCCCAGGACUGUUUUCUGUUUUCUGCGUAAUCAGUUGAUGUCUUGAGUGUGCAAAAAGAAAUCCAGAACUAUAAGCACAAGUUCCAGAACCCAACUCUAUGAGAUAAACUAGUCCACUGCAAAUGUAACAGCACACCAACAAAUUCAUGAUUUACAACAGUUCACAGUGCACAGUGCUCAGCACACCUAAUAAUGAACCUUCUCAUCAUUGU